rnacentral:lncRNA from 1 species
CAGGGUGCCAGCCCGCUCGCUGCACGGAUUCUUGUGGUUUUCAGCCUGGUUUUUUGUGGGGUGGUUCUGCUUCAGAGCCCCCUUGGUGGUUAGGGCUGGCUGGGGGGGUUGGCACUGAGUUCCUGGUGGAUUGAAGCAUCCCAGGUUCUCUGCGGAGCUUGGAGCAGAAAUGGUCUCCAUCUCCAUGAGUACCCAAGGAGGUCACGGGAGUUGGCAGAGGCAUCUGUGCAGUGCCCAGAGAGCAGCCCCACUGAGGAGGGAGGAACUUGGUUUGGGCAGGGAGGAACUCAAAGCAGUGGAACUCUCCAGAUGGCUGUACCUGCCUGCUUGGCAUGUGGACUUCAGCAAAUCCUAAUAGCUACCAACACCAAAGGGGAGUUUUGUUUUCCAAAAUGCCAGUUCCAAGGAAAGAAAAUGUGGAGCGCCAUCUGCUGCGGGCAAUGCACCGAGCGACCCUUCAACAUCUGUUACAUCGUCAUCAUAACUGCACUGACGGAAAACAGGUACCAAAGUUGUGGUAUUUUGGUGUUUUGUACCCCAAGCCUUCGGGCAGUCAUUCCAGCAGGCAGAGAGCAGCUGAUCGCCACUGUCAAUCAGAAGAAAAUCUUAAAUGACCCCACUUGA